rnacentral:sRNA from 1 species
CGACCUGCCAGGACCUGCAGAUAGAAGUGACAGUCAAAGGCCACGUCGAGUACACGAGGGAAGCAAACGAGGACUAUGAGGACUAUGAGUACGAUGAGCUUCCAGCCAAGGACGACCAGAUGCCCCUCUGCAGCCUGUGACACCCUGCAGCUGUUUGAGGGUCGGAGGAACCGCCGCAGGAGGGAGGCGCCCAAGGUGGUGGAGGAGCAGGAGUCCAGGGUGCACUACACCGUGUGCAUCUGGUGGGCACCGGGAGCUGCCCUGGCCAGGGGAGGGAGGGCAGGACCCAGGCUGGGGCUGGGCUUCUGGAGCCCGCACAGGCAGAACCUGGACGACAGCUCACAUGUCUCCACAGGCGGAAUGGCAAGGUGGGACUGUCUGGCAUGGCCAUCGCGGACAUCACCCUCCUGAGUGGAUUCCACGCCUGCGUGCUGACCUGGAGAAGGUGUGGUCAACCACCCAGGGCAACCCCUCUGCCCCAGGUACUGAGCCUGUCAUGUGCAGGGCCUGUGACCAACUCCCCUUUUCCACAGCUGACCUCCCUCUCUGACCGUUACGUGAGUCACUUUGAGACCGA